rnacentral:rRNA from 1 species
GAUGAACGCUGGCGGCGUGCCUAAUACAUGCAAGUCGAGCGAACAGACGAGGAGCUUGCUCCUCUGACGUUAGCGGCGGACGGGUGAGUAACACGUGGAUAACCUACCUAUAAGACUGGGAUAACUUCGGGAAACCGGAGCUAAUACCGGAUAAUAUAUUGAACCGCAUGGUUCAAUAGUGAAAGACGGUUUUGCUGUUACUUAUAGAUGGAUCCGCGCCGCAUUAGCUAGUUGGUAAGGUAACGGCUUACCAAGGCAACGAUGCGUAGCCGACCUGAGAGGGGGAUCGGCAACACUGGAACUGAGACACGGUCCAGACCCCUACGGGAGGCAGCAUGAGGGAAUCUUCCGCAAUGGGCGAAAGCCUGACGGAGCAACGCCGCGUGAGUGAUGAAGGUCUUCGGAUCGUAAAACUCUGUUAUUAGGGAAGAACAAAUGUGUAAGUAACUAUGCACGUCUGGACGGUACCUAAUCAGAAAGCCACGGCUAACUACGG